AACGAACGCUGGCGGCAGGCUUAACACAUGCAAGUCGAACGCCCCGCAAGGGGAGUGGCAGACGGGUGAGUAACGCGUGGGAACAUACCCUUUUCUACGGAGUAGCUCUGGGAAACUGGAAUUAAUACCGUAUACGCCCUACGGGGGAAAGAUUUAUCGGGGAAGGAUUGGCCCGCGUUGGAUUAGCUAGUUGGUGGGGUAAAGGCCUACCAAGGCGACGAUCCAUAGCUGGUCUGAGAGGAUGAUCAGCCACAUUGGGACUGAGACACGGCCCAAACUCCUACGGGAGGCAGCAGUGGGGAAUAUUGGACAAUGGACGCAAGCCUGAUCCAGCCAUGCCGCGUGAGUGAUGAAGGCCUUAGGGUUGUAAAGCUCUUUCACCGAUGAAGAUAAUGACGGUAGUCGGAGAAGAAGCCCCGGCUAACUUCGUGCCAGCCGCCGCGGUAA
rnacentral:rRNA from 1 species